AGGCGGAUGAACAGCCAGAGCUGCAAUGGUGGAUCCUCCUCCAGGGCUGCAUGGGACGACAGAUAGAUGAGGCUCUAGGACGGGCACAAAUGCUACCCGAAUGCAAACCACUCCGGAGAUCUGUAAAAGGACUGGCCCCGGACAGGAAGCACACUUUAAACUAGAGGCGGGGUAAGACUCGUGGGCCAAUCAAGGCUUCCGAACAGAACUGCCAUUCUGGCAAUGAGGCGGGGUCUUCCGGUUGCCUGCUGGAAGUUUGUUUUUGCUCUGCAGGAUUGAAGGGUUCUCCCUAUGCUGCUUUGAGCGCUGCUAUUGGGUGCCUUGAGGGGACCUCAAGUAAGCUCCAUUUUUGAAACAUGAGUCAAAGCCCCGGUGAAGAUUCUGUGACGGUUCAUUGUAUAAUUUAUGAUGAUGAAGAUUGAGUUGCAUUUUGCGGAAAAGAGAUGUUGAGAUAUCUAAGGCAUUGAGAAAUCUGUCAUGCAGACAUGCACACAGGGAGAGGGAGUACCCAAACUGAUGAGAACUUACAGGAAUUGGACCAUCUAAGCCCUUAGAAAGUGAAGUCCACUGUGUCUCAAACAAAGGAUGCAGUGACUUAUGAUGAUGUGCGUGUGAACUUCACUGAGGAAGAGUGGGAUUUGCUGGAUCCUUCCCAGAAAAGUCUCUAUGAAGAGGUGAUGCUAGAGACAUACCAGAACAUCACUGCUAUAGGCUACAAUUGGGAAGACCAUCAUAUUGAAGAACAUUGUCAAAGUUCUAGAAGACAUGAAAGGCAUGAAAGAAUUCAUAUUGGAGAGAAACCGUAUGAACGUAACCAAUGGGGUAAAGCCUUUGCAAGUGACAAUCAUCUCCAAAUACGUAAAAGAACAAAUACUGGAGAGAAACCUUAUGAAUGUAAUCAAUGUGGUAAAGCCUUUUCACAACAGAGUAGUCUCCAGUAUCAUAAAAGAACAUAUGCUGGACAGAAACCUUAUGAAUGUAAUCAGUGUGGUAAAGCCUUGUCAUGUCAAAGAAAUCUCCAAUAUCAUAAAAGAACACAUACUGGAGAGAAACCCUAUGAAUGUAAUCAGUGUGGUAAAGCCUUCACACAUUACAAUAAUCUCCGAUAUCAUAAAAGAACACAUACUGGAGAAAAACCUUAUGAAUGUAAUCAGUGUGGUAAAGCCUUUGCACGUUACAAUAAUCUCCAGUGUCAUAAAAGAACACAUACUGGAGAGAAACCUCAUGUGUGUGAUCAAUGUGGUAAAACCUUUGCAUGGCAGUAUACUCUCCAAAAACAUAAAAGAAUACAUACUGGAGAGAAACCUUAUCAAUGUAGUCAAUGUGAUAAAGCAUUUUCAGAACACAGUAGUCUUCAAUAUCAUAAAAGAACACAUACUGGAGAGAAACCUUAUGAGUGUGAUCAAUGUGGUAAAGCCUUUGCUUGGCAGUGUAGUCUCCAUAUCCAUAAAAGAACACAUUCUGGAGAGAAACCUUAUGAGUGUAAUGAAUGUGGUAAAGCCUUUGCACAUCACACUAGUCUCCAAAGUCAUAAAAGAAUACAUACUGGAGAGAAACCUUAUCAGUGUGAUCAGUGUGGUAAAGCAUUUGCACAUCAAAAUAAUCUCCAAUAUCAUAAAAGAACACAUACUGGAGAGAAACCAUAUGAAUGCAAUCAAUGUGGUAAAGCCUUUGCAAGUCACAGUCAUCUCCAAAUACAUGAAAGAACACAUUUUAGAAAAAACCCUUAGAAUGCAAUCAAUGUUGUAAAGACUUUGGAUGUAAGACUAAUCUCCAAAGACAUAAAGGAAUAUAUAUGGGACAGAAACCUUAUGAAUGUAAUCAAUGUGGUAAAGCAUUUGCAACUCACAGUCAUCUACAAUGACAUAAAAGAACACAGAGGAGAGAAACCUGGUUAUUGUUUACAUAUUGACAUAAGGAGAUGCAAGUAUGUAUCAACUUGACAAGGGAUGGAUUGUGAUUGCUACUCUUGGUUUUCAAUAUAAGAUCUAAAGUGGAAAGCAUAGGUCCAGGCAUGGUGGUACAUGCCCUUGAACCCUAGGAGAUGAGCAUCAAGCAGAUCUCUGAGUUCAAGUCCAUCCUGAUACAGAACAAGUUUCAGGUGAAGAAAAGCUAAGGUCUAGGCCGGUGGAUACAGAGCCUUGCAGAUCUCUGAGUUCAAGGUCAGUAUAUAGAGCAAGUUCCAGGACAGCCAAGCUGAGGCAGUAAAGGAGUUGGAGAACAGAAAACUGGUGAUAAUGUAAUAGAAGAGGCCAUGUCCCAGGCCCAGAAAGCAGCAGAGCUCAGCAACUUUGUCCAUGUGGCUCUGACUUUAGAGGUAAGAAUAGAAGGGACUACUGGGAAAAUUGAAGCUUGUUAGCUGUGGAUGAGAAAUUAGAAGUGAUGAAGAAGAGACCAGCAUCAUUGAGGUGAAAUUUUCUAGGAAGUGUUUUCUGAGAGGACAAAGAAACUGUGUUCCAGAGAUAGCCAGGAUUGUACCUUGUGUUGCAGCUGAACUUGGUCACAUGUAAGAAUCAUCCAGGUGGUACUGGUUUUGAAGGCAUGACGGUGUCAUGAGGAGCAGCUGAGGCUUGGACCAAUGAAGGGAGCAUAAGUGAGACUAUCAGUGAAGCCUAGUUGCAGGAGAAGAACCCAACAUAUUGAAGAUGCCAGUCCAAUGGGAUGAGCAGAAAGAACAGCCCAGUAGAGUGGAGUCAACCAGAGCUUAGAGUGAUACAGAGGUCAGAGCUAGAGAAGUGACCUUAUCUCUUUGGAGGACUGCAGAAGAUCAUGUGUGGAUCCAAGACAUUGGAGCAAGAAGCUGUAACACUGAGGUUACCUUCCAGACCCCAAGAUCUUUGAGAUGUCAGAGCUGUGGGGUACCUGCUCAGGAAAACCAGCCAAAGAGAAAGAAUUGUGCUGCAGUUAACAAAGCAUAAAAGGAGUUGGAGAUCUAAAGAAUGCUUUAACAUGACACAUGGAGAUGCAGUUUCAAGAUUUCCAAGUUGACUUUUGGUUUUGUUUUCGUCCAGUAAUUCCUCAUGAUGACAUUUUGGAAUGGUGAAGUCUAUGUUGUGAAGUUGGAAUUAUAUGAUCUGCAUUUAGAUUUUUCUUUUUUAGGGGAUUACAGUUACAUUGAAUGAAUCUCAGAAGAGACUUUGACCUUUGGACUUUUAACGUAUUUGAGACUGGUAUAGAUGAUGGGGACUUUUGAGGUUGGACCUCGUGUAUUUUUCAUUAUGCAUGUUUAAAUAUGUUCCUUAUACAUUCCUGUACUCCAACAUGCUUAAGGGGGCCAGUGAGUGGAAUGUGGGAGUUUGAAUAUGCUUGUGACAGGGAGUGACUCUAUUCAGAGGUGUGACCUUGUAGGAGAAAGUGGAUAUCUCUGGGGGUGGACUUUGAAGCUCCACCAAGUGCAAAACAGACCCUCCUAUUCCCUCUCUGGAAGACAGUUUCUUCCUGGCUGCCUUUGGAUCAAAAUGCAGAACUCUCAGCUCCUUCUCCAGCAUCAUGUCUGCCUGCAUGCUGCUGUGCUUCCUCUGAAACUGUAAGCCAGCCCCAAUUAAAGGUUUGCUUUUAUGAGA
rnacentral:lncRNA from 1 species